CAGCAGCCACGGUAAUACGUAGGGUGCAAGCGUUGUCCGGAAUUAUUGGGCGUAAAGAGCUCGUAGGCGGUUUGUCGCGUCUGCUGUGAAAUCCCGAGGCUCAACCUCGGGCUUGCAGUGGGUACGGGCAGACUAGAGUGCGGUAGGGGAGAUUGGAAUUCCUGGUGUAGCGGUGGAAUGCGCAGAUAUCAGGAGGAACACCGAUGGCGAAGGCAGAUCUCUGGGCCGUAACUGACGCUGAGGAGCGAAAGCGUGGGGAGCGAACAGGAUUAGAUACCCCAGUAGUCCCUGUCUCUUAUAA
rnacentral:rRNA from 1 species